AGUGAACGCUGGCGGUAGGCCUAACACAUGCAAGUCGAACGGCAGCACAGUAAGAGCUUGCUCUUACGGGUGGCGAGUGGCGGACGGGUGAGGAAUACAUCGGAAUCUACUUUUUCGUGGGGGAUAACGUAGGGAAACUUACGCUAAUACCGCAUACGCCCUACGGGUGAAAGCAGGGGAUCUUCGGACCUUGCGCGAUUGAAUGAGCCGAUGUCGGAUUAGCUAGUUGGCGGGGUAAAGGCCCACCAAGGCGACGAUCCGUAGCUGGUCUGAGAGGAUGAUCAGCCACACUGGAACUGAGACACGGUCCAGACUCCUACGGGAGGCAGCAGUGGGGAAUAUUGGACAAUGGGCGCAAGCCUGAUCCAGCCAUACCGCGUGGGUGAAGAAGGCCUUCGGGUUGUAAAGCCCUUUUGUUGGGAAAGAAAAGCAUCAGGUUAAUACCCCGCUGUUCUGACGGUACCCAAAGAAUAAGCACCGGCUAACUUCGUG
rnacentral:rRNA from 1 species